ACAAGUGAGUAAAGACAGCACGGGUUAUGAGACCGUUUAUCUCUACUCGCUCGUCU
ensembl:miRNA ipu-mir-7574 ipu-mir-7574